GGAGUCAGGAUUAGAACCCAGGUCCUUCUGGCUCUCAGGCCUGUGCUCUCUCCAUUAGGCCACGCUGCUUCUUUUGACCCUGGGCUUCCUGACUCCAAGGCCUAUGCUCUGUCCACUGAGCCACAUUUCCUACUCCAAGAUGGGAGUCAGCAGGCUAGGAAUAUCAAGGCCUUUCCCUUCAAGCUUGAUUGCGAGUAUACCGAAGAGUCUGAAAAUUUCCCGAGAUUGAAGGGGCGUGUGUGCGGGUAGGUAUAUAUGUGUGGGCGUGGUGUUUGUGCCUGAAUC
rnacentral:lncRNA from 1 species